GUGCAGCAGUCGCGAAAACUCCGCAAUACGCGAAAGCGUGACGGGGCUACCCCGAGUGUCGUCCGCUGAGGACGACUUUUCCACGCUGUAAGGAGGCGUGGGAAUAAGGAGAGGGCAAGUCUGGUGUCAGCCGCCGCGGUAAUACCAGCUCUCCGAGUGGUAGGGACGAUUAUUGGGCUUAAAGCGUCCGUAGCUGGCCUUUCAAGUCUCUUGUUAAAUCCAGCGAUUCAAUCGUUGGACUGCGGGAGAUACUGUUAGGCUAGGGGGCGGGAGAAGCCGACGGUAUUUCCGGGGUAGGGGUAAAAUCCUAUAAUCCUAGGGGGACCACCAGUGGCGAAGGCGUUCUGCGAGAACGGGCUCGACGGUGAGGGACGAAAGCCAGGGGCGCAAACGGGAUUAGAUACCCCGGUAGUCC
rnacentral:rRNA from 1 species